rnacentral:lncRNA from 1 species
AAAUCAGUAGAAGUUAUGUGGUGAAGGUGUAAGCAUCCGACUAGUAAAGAAGAAGGCUUGAACAACAAAGCAACCAUCAAUCUCUUUAUCUUGAAGUCUAUAAUCAAGCAGCCCAACAAGGUAUACUAAAUUGAAUCUUUUCCAUUCCUUUUCAUUGAACUGUAAUGCGAAAUGGCUGGCAAUAGAAGGACUGCUGCAUUAAAAUGUUUGAGUUGCUAUGUUACUGCUGUAGGAAGUUAGUGACUGCUAUGCUAUUGUUGUAUUUCUAUGAAUUGAAAUUAGGCACAAGGAAAUAGGUUGGACUGAGGAGCAAUAAGGCUGAUAAAAUGGAUGCUUAAUACAAACAAAUAGCUAUGACAUAAGUAGUUUUAAACAACGCACACCACUUGUUCGAUAAAAGUCCUCUAAGAACUGUUUUGGUUAAAAACCAAGUAUUAGGUAAAACUAAAGCUUGCUCUAGAUAUAUAUAACAUAUACGAUGACAAUUAAAGAGCUUGAUCAUAUCAAGUUAAAACGAAAAGCAGUUUUAAACCAAAACGAAAAGUUAAAAAUAAGUGUGUUAAGCCAUUAUUGACCACUGUUUUGAGCAGCUUAAAUAUUCCAAUGGGAAGUUUAUAGAUUUAUAUACAGUAUCAUAUACGAUAUAUAACAUAUUUAAAAUUUGUUCUAAUUUGGUAUAUGAGCUAGAAGCAAUAAGGUCGCGAAAAGAAACCGAAAAAUUAUGAACUGCUGACCCUAAGGACAAAUUCGGGGCUAGCUAAACUUUCUAGAAAAUUGUGGGCUUUUGGGAUAUUAUAGUACACUGAAUAAGAUUUCCAUAGACUCCAGAACGGACUAAUUCCGACUUCGGAGCAAGGAGUUAUGACAUUUGAAAGUAGUUGCGUCAAAUCUGUCCAACAAAUUCAGAGCAGUCCUCUUGCACGGAUGCUUCAUGAAUGAAAGUUGUAGCCCCAGAAGUUAGCUUCGCGUGGGAGCAAGAAUUGCUCAAAAAUGUUUUAAAACGAAUUAGUUAUGACUGUUUUAGCGAGAUAGGGUAAAGCUGAGAAAAAAAUUAAAAACUGUUAUGUUGGUUUAGUGCUAAACCCUACUAAAAUGUCUAGUAUGGACUGUUUUGGUGUUAGAAAAUUAACAGAUUAUUGCAAGCAUGUUAAGGAAUAUAAUGUUAUGUAAUAAUCAUGUUUUAAAGGUUGUUAGAGUACCUAAAGGCUGCUUGAAUCAUACUAUGGACUGUUGUGAAUUAGGAGCCAAAACUGUGCCUAUAAGGGGGCUGUUAUGGCCAUUUGUAGCUACUGAUGUUAUAAAUUAGUAAGGUAUACUCUCAUUGUCCAUAAAUGUCAUUUAAAAGAUGUUCCUAAAGUUAGUUGAAGUCUAAGAUGGGUAUUGUCCAAAAAUCAUACUAAAAUCUAUUAAAGUAAGCUUUAAAGUGUCAACUAACACCCAACUAUGGAACUACCAUACCUGGACCAUGUAGGCAAGUUUCAAUAGUUAUAAUAUGGCAUAAAUAAGCUACACAAGUUAAAGAAACCAAUUCUAAACUAUUUUGGGCAUUGGACUUGUUAAAAAUCACAUUUUAAGAUCAAAAGUAGACUGUUUUGGGUAACUUCUAGUACUUGAACUUAUAAGACUGUAAUGAACUCAUAUAAAGUUGUUAAUUCAUGCUUGUAAUGAUUCCUAACCAUUGCCAUGACCAAAGCUAGCAAGAAAAUCAAUUUAAGAUCUCUUUUUCAAGCCUAAAGUGAGCUUUGAUAGGUCAAAAAUGGGCUUGAUGAUUAAAUAAGUUGUGGUGAUGCUAAAAGUAUCCUUAAGUAACUUAUAUACACAUGCCUAGAUUAUCCUAGUGGCCAAAACUAGAAAAAAUUGGAAAAAAAAUUCAAAAACAGUUUUGUAAAAAAAGUGAGAAAAUGGCUAAGUUUGAGCCCUGUUUUGGGAAGCUUAAUGGGCAUGAACAAGAAACCUAAACCUUGAUUAAAAUAACUUGUAGUAUGGUCUAGAAGUAGGUCCAAGUGGUUAAGCUCUUGGCUUAACCAAGGAGUCUAAACAAAUCCCUAAACUACCAUGGAAAAUCAUCCUAACUGCAGUUUUGAAAAUUUUUCUAAGUGUGAAAUUUGAGAUUUUUCCAUUUAGCCUAGAAAACAAUUUGAACACCUUAGAAAAGUGAGUUAGAGUUAUGCUAGGUUAUUCCAAGUGUUAGAAUGCUAAUGUAUACAAGAACUUGAGAAGUUAGUGUGUAAAAGCGUGAAAAAGCUAGGUUUAAAGGGUCAAAACCCAAUCUAUGCUUGGUAAACCUAAAUGAAUGCUAGAACUAGUCCUAACUAGAUAUAAUUCAAGUGUUGGAAUGAACUAAGGUGGCUAGAAAUGAAAUUGGCAAGAAUUGACCAAAACUAGUGAACUCAAGAAUACGUGAACCCUUUAUGUUCUAAAUCCUGAAUAAGAUGUAAAUGAUAACUUUAAAAUCAUUCCUAUUGCAUAAUAUAAGCAUGUCAAACCCCAUCAAAGUGAAAGAUGACUAAUGAGAAAACAUGGAUGAGGUAUUUAAAAAAUGUAUACAAUAUCUCAGAUAUAGAAAUCUAAACUACCUCCAUGAUAACUGAAAUUACAUGUUUUGUUAUCAAUCCCACAUACAAUGUAGGUUGUGCAAGGAACACAUAAGUUGGUGUAAUGGUAAAACCCCGGUACAGGCAAGUUUCUCAGUUUAUUUAUGUGGACUUAUAAUAGAUUACUGUUAGCAUGAUUUAUGUUUAUAAGUAUGUAAUACCUAUGAGCUGCAUUAUUUGCUUUGUGAAUGAUGAAGGUCAAAUUAUGACUAAUUAUUGAAUUAAGUCAGGGAACUCAAUACAUAUAUGUAAUGAAUGACAUGUACAUGACAUGUGUAGUAUGCUAUGGUAUGUAUGUUGCUACCAGCAGGACAUAAAUGUGAUAAUGCAUUUGUAUUAUGCUUGAAUACCAAGAAUAUAAAUGCAUGAAUUGAAUGUGAAACCUAUGUGCUACAUGAUGUAUGAUAGACUGUUAGACUUGCUGGGCCGUCGUGCUCAAUCUUUCUUAAUUUGCAGGUUAAACCUAUGAUGCGAUCUAUCGUGAUUAAGAGUGCAUGAAAAGAAGACUAGUGAUUUAGUUGAGAUCAUGUUGAAUCAUUUGAUGA